rnacentral:rRNA from 1 species
UACGUAGGGAGCAAGCGUUGUCCGGAAUUACUGGGUGUAAAGGGUGAGUAGGCGGCAUGGCAAGUCAUAUGUGAAAGACUGAGGCUUAACCUCAGAGGUGCAUAAGAAACUGUAGUUCUUGAGUGCUGGAGAGGCAAUCGGAAUUCCGUGUGUAGCGGUGAAAUGCGUAGAUAUUAGGAGGAACACCAGUGGCGAAGGCGGCUUGCUGGACGACAACUGACGCUGAGGCGCGAAAGCGUGGGGAGCAA